UGAGUUCACUUUUCCUUGACUAAAAAGAACAUCACCAAUGCCUGUGUUUUCUUCCAUAGCAGUGAAUGUGCUGAUUAUUACACAGUAAAUCAUGCUUGGAAUUUAUACUCUGCCGGGAAUUUUGCUCUAGAGGAAGGGAUGCAGGCAUCACAGGCAGAGACUUAACCCACUGUGCCACAAUGAUGAACCUUGGCUUCUUCCUUCUGCCGGGUAUUGGAAAGUACCCAUGGACUCAAACUUGCCUUGGAAUUAUCUGAAGACCAACAUCAUUUGGAGUUUCCCAUUCAUAGAGAAUCCAUGUUCCAAAGUUUGAAUGGAUUUUUGUUGUAAAUGUUAUUUGAUGUUUUAGUUUAUUUAUGCAAUGGCCUCUUCUUAAUGCUCUUAAUACUGAGGAUUGACUGCCUUAGGAAAAAAUAUUCUAACUAUGAUGCUAUCAACAACAGUUUGUGGGUUUCAGAUCAAGAGAUUGGAGGAUUUUUCACACAAACAUUGAGAAAUAUUUGUACAAUCCUAAAGCAAAUAAUUCCAGGUUCAGAAUACCUAUCUGCCACAUUCUCUGAUUUGUAUAGAAAUAAAAAAUAUCAUGGGAAAUUGAGGCUGUGUUACUGAUAUUGUUGUGACUCUCAGAAAAUCUGUUAUCCUUUUACAACCUAUACUUCCUCAGUUGUGGAAUGGAAAUGAAAUAAAAUAAAGGGCAUGGGACUUAGCAGGACUCCAUUAAAUUCCCUCCUUCUCUCUCUCCCUCUUUUCCUUUGUUCUUUCCUUGGUAGCUUCUCUAUGUGCACUCUGAGGACGAGAAAAGCAGCCCCUGAGAACCAAGAGCUGGCUUUUUAUUCAUAACUAGUCUUCAGGAUUUCCCUAUAGAACAUGAAUAAUUUUAUAGAAUACUAUCAGACAAGAACAUUCUGUGAUGCUGAUGGAGCAAGCCGAAUCAAGAACACUCCAUAAUCAGAGCAAAAAACAGACGAAAAUCUUGUUCCAACCAAGACCAAGCAUUGCCCUUUUUGGUGAAUCCAAGUGACUGCUACUUCUUUGCCCACGAUAGAUUUAGCUUCACUUCAUUCUCCCUUUUCCUAAGGUAAGAGAACAUAGUCUUUUGAAGUUUGUUUUUAUAUUUGCAAAAUG